rnacentral:lncRNA from 1 species
AAUGAAGGUUCAGCCAAGUCAAUUCAUCCACUUGCCUUGCGUCCUUGGGAUAUUACUGUACUUGUUAAUUUGUACAAAGUUCAUGGGCGUCUUCCUGUUCAUGGAACUACUGAUGGUCCUGAAUGCCCUACAGCUUUCUUGGAAAGACUAUGUUUUGAAAUGAAAAAAGGAUUUAGGGAGACCAUGCUGCAACUUAUCCUGUCACCCCUGAAUGUGUUUGUCAGUGAUAACUAUCAGCAGCGACCCCCUGUGGAUGAAGUACUCAGGGAAGGUCACAUCAAUUUGUCAGGUCUCCAGCUGAGAGCACACGCUAUGUUCUCAGCAGAAGGUCUUCCUUUGGGAAGCGAUUCCUUAGAAUACGCAUGGUUAAUUGAUGUGCAGGCUGGAAGUCUUACAGCUAAGGUCACAGCACCACAGUUGAGUUGUAUUCCUGGGCCUUGUCCAACUUCAGAUGAUUUGAAAUAUACUAUGAUUCGUUUAGCAGUAGAUGGA